UACAGGGGGGGCAAGCGUUGUUCGGAAUUACUGGGCGUAAAGGGCCCGUAGGCGGCCAACUAAGUCACACGUGAAAUCCCCAGGCUUAACCUGGGAACUGCGUGUGAUACUGGAUGGCUUGAAUUCGGGAGAGGGAUGCAGAAUUCCAGGUGUAGCGGUGAAAUGCGUAGAUAUCGUGAGGAAGACCAGUGGCGAAGGCGGGUCUCUGGACAGUUCCUGACGCUGAGGCGCGAAGGCCAGGGGAGCAAACGGG
rnacentral:rRNA from 1 species